rnacentral:rRNA from 1 species
GAUGAACGCUGGCGGCGUGCCUAAUACAUGCAAGUCGAGCGAACAGACGAGGAUCUUACUCCUCUGCCGUUGGCGGCGGACGGGUGAUUCACACGUGGAUAACCUACCUAUAAGACUGGGAUACGUUCGGGAAACCUGAUCUAAUACCGGAUCACAUGUUGAACCGCAUGGUUCUACAGUGAAAGACGGUCUUGCUGUCACUUAUAGAUGGAUCCGCGUCGCAUUAGCUAGUUGGUAAGGUAACGGCUUACCAAGGCAACGAUGCGUAGCCGACCUGAGAGGGUGAUCAGCCACACUGGAACUGAGACACGGUCCAGACUCCUACGGGAGGCAGCAGUAGGGAAUCUUCCGCAAUGGGCGAAAGCCUGACGGAGCAACGCCGCGUGAGUGAAGAAGGUCUUCGGAUCGUAAUACUCUGUUAUUAGGGAAGAACAAAUGUGUAAGUAACUAUGCACGUCUUGACGGUACCUAAUCAGAAAGCCACGGCUAACUACGUG